rnacentral:rRNA from 1 species
GUCCACGCCCUAAACGAUGACAACUAGAUGUCGGGAGGGUCUGCCUCUCGGUGUCGCAGCUAACGCGUUAAGUUGUCCGCCUGGGGAGUACGGCCGCAAGGUUGAAACUCAAAGGAAUUGACGGGGACCCCGCACAAGCGGUGGAGCAUGUGGUUUAAUUCGAUGCAACGCGAAGAACCUUACCUGGUCUUGACAUCCUCGGAACCCUGCAGAAAUGCGGGGGUGCCUUCGGGAACCGAGAGACAGGUGCUGCAUGGCUGUCGU